UUCUCCACUACCUGAGCGCGUGCCUACUCGAGAAGACGCUUUCUGUUGAGAGCCGAGGAAGGCCCUUAUAUCCUUCAUUAAAGCCAGGCUCACGUCGAACGGUCGAAGAACGGUGGACAGAGAAGCAACUAACGUACAAUCAUUUUCUUCACAUGACUCAUUAACAAUUGAGCUCCGCGCCGUCAUUUCCUCUUCCCGGAUUUCAAUUUUUAUUAAUGGAGAAUACGAGGGAAAUUGCCAUAAGUCUUGAUUUGAACGAAGAACCCCCGGAUGUUUCCACGAUUAGAUUAGGAUCUUUAUUGAACGAAAUAGAAACAGCCCAUGGCCAGAUUGAAGAGCGAAUCCGACAACUCGAGGCAGUCACAUCUAGGGCUCGACAGCGUCAUAGGUGGAGACAACCUCGAGCCCCCUCCGAAACCCCCAACAUUUCUGUGACUAAUUCGCAUAAUGACGAUAUUGCUAAUUCUGAGGAACAUGAUGUUGCUGCCCCAGUAAGAAUAGUUGAUGAAUGUGCUAAAAAAUGCAGAAGGGAUGGUACUCACUUGAUAGCUAAGGCAUUGGCGAUGGAUGCUGAUGAUCAGAAGACGGUAACCAACGGUGGGAGCUUUUUUGACUGUAAUAUAUGCCUGGAAAAGGCAAAAGAUCCUAUUUUAACUUGUUGUGGGCACUUGUUCUGUUGGCCUUGUUUCUACCGGCUGUCUUAUGUUCAUUCAAAUGCAAAGGAAUGUCCAGUGUGCGAGGGAGAGGUGACGGAUACAAAUGUUACUCCAAUUUACGGCAACGGAAGCAAGUCUCAUGAUUUGAGGUUUGGAGAGUCAGGCUUGAGGGUCCCACCUAGGCCCCGGGCUCCCCGGGUUGAGAGUGUUAGGCAGCAGCAAGCUAGCAGGGGUAUAUAUACUUAUCCAAUCGAGGAAGCAAUGCUGCUUUUUAGCAACAGAAUUGCUGCAAUGAGGGUGCCUGUGCCUCAAUUGGAUCUUGAUGGUGCACCGCCCAUCUCAACAGAAAGAACUAAUUUCUUGAAUGGUUCGAGUACUGGUUCCCAGGCUUUCCAGAGCACAAUGGCAAGGGGCAGCCAACACCUUCCUUCUGCCAGGUUUUCGAGAUUAUUGUCACAAGGUACUGCUUCGCUUACUUCUCUUUCAUCUGCAUUGAGCUCUGCUGAAAGAUUGGUGGAGGACCUGGAGGCUAUUAUUCAUAGCCACCAUAGAAGGCAGAGCCUGGCCCUGUCUCCCACAGUGGGUGACAGAGAUUCUUUUCCGAGCAUUGCUUCUGGCACACAUUUGGAAAGUCAAACUCGAGAUAACAGUGCUGAAAUUAAUUCUACAAUGGCCCAUUCAUCCUCAUCUUCUUGGAGAAGAAGCAAUGUUGCUGCUGCUGCUGUUUUACACUUCGAAAAUCAGAUGACAAAUGGGCCUAUUGAAAUCAACUUAGCAGUGCCACAUUCUUCUUCAUCUUCCAGGAGAAGAACUGAUGUUCCAAGGUCUUCAGAUACUGGCAGUGGAGCUUCUCGUGCUCCUAGAAGGAGACGGUUAAGAUGAUAUCAUUUUUCAAUAGAAUAAGAAAUUGAAGUUUGUAGUAAUAUUCUUGCUCAAAACUGCGAUUUCACUUUCAUUAACAAUUCUUAGAAUACCGACGGGCAAGUAUUUGAUUCCACAGAGGAAUCUUUGACUGUCCUUUAAGGAGCUAGUGGCUGUGGUUAUUUCGGGAAGUCAUGUGUUAGGCAGAGAGCAGAUCAUCUUUCUUGAAUUCAGAAAAUAAUUUGGGUAUGCAGUAUGCAGUUUGGAGGAUAAAUAUGUAAGCCUGAAGCUAACUUGGAAGAGCAAAAAUUCUUUGCAAUCUGCUUUUAUAUUGUGUUUCAAUUAAAAGAGCCUACUUACGAACGAAAUGCUGAAGAUGAAAGGAAGUAUAACUGUAUAGAAAACAACAUGUUGUCCAUCCUUUCAGGGUUUGAAAAUAGGUGAAUUGGGCAAGUCAGAUUUAGAUCAUGAAAGCAUGAACCAAGAGACCAUGGGAAAAAAGUGCUUCACUGCUGCAAUAAUGCACAGGGUUGAGGAAGAUGAUGGAUACUCAAUUGGGGUGUCUGAAAUAUUUCAUGUUUUAUCUGGAGCAGGUUGGCAGUUGCUGAUUAACAUUUUUUCUCAUCUACUGCUAGUGACAUAGGUAUCUGAUGUCAUUUUUUCAAGCGAGGGCAUCUGUGAGGAUAUCUCUUGGUCGGCUUCGAGGGUCUCAGUUAGCAAUGACAAAACCAUGAGCAACAGGAGAGCAGCCAGUGCUGCACUUUAACAGCAUGCAGCCAAAUAAUGGGCCACAUUCUAGGUGAAUCAAAGAGAGGCUAUUUCACAUUUUCUGGUCUUAGAGAGCACUGGUACGAGAGAAGCUUUCGAGGGUAUUUGGUUCAGUGGAGAGUCGCCCUGCUUUGGAUGCUAAAUGGCUAACAGAGGAUACUGUUCAUGAAAGAGCUCUUGGGCUUUUAAGAGUCAAUACUUACUCUCUCAGGAGGCAAGUUCCUUUCAGCCUGAAGAGUAUGAUGGAGGACCACCUACAUCAUUUAGGUACAAUUUUUUUCGGUGUCAAUUUAGGAAAGUAUGCAUGCAGUAGAUUUUUGUUUGCAUUGUAUAAUUUCUGUUUUGUUGGGGUUAAAAUGUGAUUGUAUUUUAGUUAGAUGUAGUGUACAAAAUACUUGGGUAGUAUGUUGUAUUGGACGCUUAUUGUUUGGAAUUCGGAAUUAUGGAACUGAUUUCCUUCUCUCA